CUUAGAAAAUGUGCCGGAAUUUAGGUGAUCAGUGGCCGAAUUGAGGCUUCAUGCAAGUGAAAGGCCACGCCAACCUCAUUACCACUAACGUGUUUAUAUUUGGAUUCUGCUGCACUUCUGUACAUAUCCAGUACUAUGACAUCAGAAGAUACAAAGUUUGCUUGUGGUCGAAUUAGAAGUGGAUUUUGUCCAUGGAAAAUAUUGGUCCACAAGCUGCUAGCCCUGGAAAAUUGGCCUGUGAUGCAUUAUCUCAAUAGCGGGCCCCGUAUGAAACUGAUGAUGACAUUGCAGAGGAGAAAGACCAGAUGAAAUUCAUGUGUACAUUAUCGUCAAAUUGUAUUAAACCGUUGCCUGCUUGAGGAAUUAGUUGAGUCUGAGUUAGACUGAUGUCUAUAUUAAAUCAGUUCAAAAUGUACUCUGAUUUUAUGUAUUAAUAAGUCAUCUGGGAGAAUUGGAUGUAGUUGGGCGGUAGGCUAUUAUAUAGCCUACUUCGUAUUCUAGAAAGCUGGAAACAGGUAGUAGGUCUUCGUACUAUUGGGACAUGUAGUGAAUAUACCAGCCAACAUAAGAAGAUGUGACGAUAAGUGUAUGAUGUGUUUUGGGGGCCUGAGUUAUUCGAUGACAAUUUUUAUAUAUGAUAAUUGUGAUAGUCUGAGAAUUUUUAUUCUUUUGCUAUUUGCUUUAUGAUUCAUGUCAUUUUCUUUUCAUUCUAGUAGUUAUUGUGAUGUUUUUUAUUUGAAUGCCAGAAUGUUCUUAGGCAUGUGUAAAAGGAGUGUUCUUAUUUAUCGGCUCACUAAUUCUAAAUUUGUGACUUCCAAAAACUUGUACUUAAAAUUUUUUUCUUUGCCUUAACCCAAACUUGUACUUGUUAAAUUACUGUAUAUUUAUUUGAACUCAGAUGAUACAGCAUUAAAGCUGAAAAUCUUUAAUGCUGAUUUAGUUAGAUUUAGACUAAGAAUAUUAGUAUAUUUAAGAGUAGUCAAAAGAAGCAAUUCUAUUGUGCCAAGUAAAAAUAUUGGGAGUGGGAUAUAGCCAGGCUUCUAAAGAUAGACUCUGAAGAGUGUAGUAGCUAAGUAGCAAAAAUUUCUUGUCUUGAGGAUAUAGAGCCGGGUCUGCAUUCCAGCCUACCAUUAUCUUGAAGUGAUGUGGGCAUGAUUAUGGCUGGAUAGAUGAUGUUUGGAGAAUGAAAUAGAUACCGUGGCCUAUGGGGUUCCCAAGCACAGAGCUUUUUUGCUAUGUCUCACAAAUUUUAAUGAGUUUCUACAUGCAUAUAGCUUGUACCUUAUGUAAAUAGGUUAGCUACUGGGAAUGACCAGCAGCCCCAGGCUGUUCCGGCCUCUGGUACUGCGAAGACAGUUGAGUUUCUUAUGGAGAUAGUUUUAUGAGCAUUUGCCACCACAAACAGUGGAGGCAGACGAAGUACAGGCUCGAGCCUCAGUUAUGGUAAAACAGACUCAGUUUUUAAGGAGGAGUCUAAUAUUCUGAGCAUGGAGACUUGAUUUGACUCUUGGCUUUUCAGAGUCGGGGAAUAAUUUUCACUUUAUGUUAGUGUAUGAAAUUGGUUAUAAAUAUGUGAAAAUAAGCGGACCUUAAUAAGGAAGAGUUAAUGCAAUGAAGCAGAACUUGUAUCUCAACAUUCUCCUUUUCUUACUUCAUUUACUUUCCAUAUUGCACUCAUUCAAUGGAUGGGAUGCAAUAGUUGUUUGAGUAUAACAAGUUUGUGCUUAUGCUGA